AAAAAGAUAAGCUAAUAAAGCUAAUAGGUUCAUACCCUAUAUAUAGAGGUAAAGCCCUCUUCUUUUUA
rnacentral:tRNA from 1 species